rnacentral:rRNA from 1 species
AUGAACGCUGGCGGCGUGCCUAAUCCCUGCAAGUCGCGCGAACGGACGAGAAGCUUGCUUCUCUGAUGUUAGCGGCGGACGGGUGAGUAACACGUGGAUAACCUACCUAUAAGACUGGGAUAACUUCGGGAAACCGGAGCUAAUACCGGAUAAUAUUUUGAACCGCAUGGUUCAAAAGUGAAAGACUGUCUUGCUGUCACUUAUAGAUGGAUCCGCGCUGCAUUAGCUAGUUGGUAAGGUAACGGCUUACCAAGGCAACGAUGCAUAGCCGACCUGAGAGGGUGAUCGGCCACACUGGAACUGAGACACGGUCCAGACUCCUACGGGAGGCAGCAGUAGGGAAUCUUCCGCAAUGGGCGAAAGCCUGACGGAGCAACGCCGCGUGAGUGAUGAAGGUCUUCGGAUCGUAAAACUCUGUUAUUAGGGAAGAACAUAUGUGUAAGUAACUGUGCACAUCUUGACGGUACCUAAUCAGAAAGCCACGGCUAACUACGUG